rnacentral:lncRNA from 1 species
CAAAGUCCAAGGCUAAGGAGAUAAAAGAAGCUCUCGAUGGGCUUAUUCAAGACAUUUGGGCUAAGGACACAUCAAGGCUUGAAGAGUUUGAUUCAAAUUCAAGGCUUAUUAAUCUAAUUCAGUUUAUUAGACUUGAAUAAAUUUAAUAUGAGCUUAAUGAACAUAAAGGAGCACAUUGAAGUUUGGGCCUAAUUAGCUCCAGCAAAGAUGGCCCGU